AUGAACACUAACAGGGUUCUAUUUGAGUAAAAGUUUCCUCAAUUUUUUUUUCUAAUACAUCUUAGCUGUUUUGGAGAUGAUAAUUGCUGCACAGGUGGACUCAGCCAUAGAAGAAACUCCACUAGAAGUAAGACAAUAUUUGUGCCAUGGCCUAGACACAAUAGAUAGCCCAUUUUAUUUAGAUCUAAUUCAAGCUUGAAGUAUGACCUCGAUAUUACCUUACAGUCCCUCCUUGCAAGGUGUACACGUGGCUGGCAGUGCUGAUCUGCAAGCAUCCUGGCAUCUGUAAGGAGAGGCAGGAGCUCUACAGCACUGCUGAGGCCCCUGUAACACUGCUCUCUCUUGUGCCACUCCUGUCCAAAGAGUACCAGUAUUAGUGGGCGCCUUUUGACAACAUACAAGAUGUUCCCACUGAUUUAAAUACAGUGGCUGAAAAUACAAGAGACUGCAUGAGACAAAUAGAAAACUCCUCUAGAAUUUUCCAAAUCUUGGCCCUUGGUCCAGCCUUACGUGUGAGGAUGGCCACAGGAAGAUUAUAUUGUUCAGACAUUCUCCAUGUUUCUGGGUCCGGUACUGUACAUCACACAGGCAGUUCAGGUGCACAAAUCAUGUAGUGUAAGAUGAUCAUAAUUUGCUAUUCUCUUUAAUAGUUCCCCUUGAGAGUUUAAUUACCAAAAUUAUCUUUAAGACCCCAAUGCAUGAGGUGUCUCAGUCGCAUGAUCACAAUGAUUAAGGGCUGCUCCACUGGCUGCUCCAGCUUUUCUCCUCUCAGUAUUGUAUUCCAAUGUUUCAGCUGGAUAACUAGGGACUUUUUAUCCUAGAGUAUGUAGCCACAGUUUUGCCACCGCAUUGCAUUUUGUUUAUUUGGUAGCUAUUACUGAAACACUUCACAGAGGUUAUAAAAGCACAGAGUAUCAAAAUGACAGAUUUGUGUUUAGAAGAAUAUGCAAUGAAGGCCAAAGACAACUGGCAACAAAGAAAAUAGAACAAACUAACCUGACCUUAAGAAUAAACAACAGUAGAUAAUAUGCAAAAGGUUAACUGGAAUUUCAGGUACUGCGAUUAAAGAGAUAGUGACAUUGCUUUUGUAAUGCUCUGAAAAGGUUAAGUUAUAGGCGUGUUAUUUAUAAGUUAAACAGUUGAAGAAAUCAGUUGUUUUGCCCUUCUGUUCUUAAGACACCUUACUAAAAAUUUUUGCUUAAACCAGAGUUUGAAAGCAUACAAAUAUUACAUCACUGAAAACAAUAGCACUUCGAUGUUCUAUAGAAAACAAACGUAAAAGGCUCUUAUGAUAAACUUUAUGAGAAAAAAAAACCAAAACAAAACAGAAUUCGGUUGGUGAAACUCAUCUGAAAA